rnacentral:misc_RNA from 1 species
GUUGAACUUGGAGGAGAACUGCUUUCUGGAUCAGUGUGGAGAAGGCAGAGAGAUGAUUGCAAGAUUCAACUUCUAUCCUCCGUGUCCAACACCUGAGGUUGUACUUGGAAUCAAACCACAUGCUGAUGCAUCGGCCAUUACCAUCCUUUUGCAAGACAAAGAAGUUGAGGGGCUUCAGGUUCUCAAAGAUGAUCAAUGGUUUAGAGUACCUAUUGUACCAUAUGGUCUCCUCGUUAAUGUUGGAGAUCAAGUAGAGAUAAUGAGCAAUGGUAUCUUUAAGAGCCCCGUGCACAGGGUGGUAACGAAUGCAGACCAAGAAAGAAACACCCUUGCUGUUUUCAUUAUGCCAGAUGUAACUGAUGGAAUUGGACCAGUGGAGAAGCUUAUCAAUGAGGAAAUGCCAAGAGCAUACAAAGACGUUAAGAAUUAUGUUGAACUCUUCUUCCAAAGCUAUCAGCAUGGGAAAAGACCAAUUGAAACAGCAAUGAUAUGCCAAGAACAAGAUUAGUUGUCAACAAAAAGCUCCCUUUCUUG